rnacentral:rRNA from 1 species
CACGUAGGCGGCAUAGCAAGUUAAGGGUGAAAUUCCGGGGCUCAACCCCGGGACUGCAGUCGAUACUGCUGUGGCUAGAGUCCGGUAGAGGAGAGUGGAAUUCCCGGUGUAGCGGUGGAAUGCGCAGAUAUCGGGAGGAACACCAGUAGCGAAGGCGGCUCUCUGGGCCGGAACUGACGCUGAGGAGCGAAAGCGUGGGUAGCAAACA